rnacentral:lncRNA from 1 species
GAAAACCCAGGUGUAGGGCUCUGUGAGCGCUUUAGAUCGGAGCAAAGCAGCAGCACUGAAGCAACAGAACCCAGGAAGAGGCUGAACUCAGAUGGGCAGGGCCGGCUGCACAGCAAGGCUCCCAGAGUGAAUGGGCAUUGGUCAGUGGGGCUUGCGGCCCUAUCUCCCCAGGGAGGGAGAAGAUCUGGGGAGGCAUGCCCCCAUCCCCAAGCCAAUGAGCUCCGGAAGCUCCUCCUGGAAAAGCUAAUUAUUGAGGAACAUUUUUAAGGCUCUUGAUUCAAAUCGUCUGCUGCUGUCCAGAAAGAUGACACCAACUUACACAUCCGAUAAGAAUGGAUGAAAUUAAAAUUCUGGGCCGGACGCGGUGGCUCACGCCUGUAAUCCCAGCACUUUGGGAGGCCAAGGCGGGCGGAUCACGAGGUCAGGAGAUCGAGACCAUCCUGGCUAAUGCGGUGAAACCCCGUCUCUACUAAAAAUACAAAAAAUUAGAUGGG